GUGUGUGUGUGUGUCUUUACCAGGGUGGGGGCAAGGACUUAAUCUCCUUUUACACACACCUUCAAGGAGAAGAAGAAAUGGAGAUCAUUUCUUUUUAUUUGUAACUACAACAAGAUCUUAGUGUUUACUCAUCCCCGAGUACCGCCACAAAGAGGGAUGCUGUCAUCUCCCCAGCAAGCCUAUGCCGAUUGCUCAGAGUGUGCGGACUGCAGUGACUCAGCAGCCAGUCUUCUGCAGACACACCCCUGAAAUGCACAUUCAGAGAGGGCUAGCCUUAUGAACUAAACAUGGGGCCCUUUACAAAUACAUCCUCAUCAUUAAGCAAUGCAUGACUGCACACGAAAUUAUGGGCAUCUGGAAGAUUCUCACAAUUAUUUUGGUUCUACUCUGGAACAAUGUCAAUGUGACACGCAUUAACAAAUCAGAGAGACGGUUUUUUACUGACUCUCGUGGAUCGCUCCUGAUGGAUGAAGUCCUGAACCGUAUGUGUGAAAUGCAUUAGUUUGAAAACAGUCCCAAAUGGUGAAAUGGUGAUUCAGAAAGUCAGGGGGUCAAAAGUGAAUAAACAAGAAAGGCUUGGGGAGAGAGAACUGGAAAAACCUACUGAGCAGAAGCAAUGGCGACACUCAGAAAAAGUGAGAAACACAAGUUACAACAGUUUACCAAAGUGAAAAAUGUACUCCACGUCUGUCUUCAUGGCAUAAUUUAUCAGCGCGGCACAUUGCAAAGGAUGCACUCUGUUCUUCAGAUGGUAGCCGUGUCUACAAAUGGUGUGAGUCUCGGGGGAGAAAACUCUCCCCCAAAGAGUACUGGGUUCUUUUCUUGAAAUAACCUAAUGCUAAAUGGUAGGCAUUACUUAACGCUUUACUUCGAGCUACUUGAUAUAUAAUCAGGUCAGCUGUUUCUAUGGAUAAAAAUAAAAAAAUAUAAUAUACAUUUU